AGGACUUGGCUUGUUCUGUAAACUAGAGACUACAUGUGAAAACCUGUGUGUGACAGUCGUUCAAGGACUUAAUUAAAUUCGCGAAUAAAUUCGAAAAGAAAAGAAGAAUAGCCCAUAUUAUUAUUAUUGUGGAUAUGUAUUAGUUGAAACAGGUUCUUUUGGUUCUGUUUUAAAAACUAUUUCUGGUGAUAAGAAGAAUCAAAGUUGAAUUCCAGGGAGGACUGAACUCGGAAUUAAGAGUUUGAUAGGGGUUGAUUUUAAAGCUUUGUGGCGCGACUGCUCUGUGUUUUUAUAGGACAAUUCUAUGUUAUUUUUAAAAGGACUAUUCGGUGUUAUUUCACAAAGGUUCGUGUAUUUUUAGUGUCUAGAAAGUUAUAUAUUCUGGAAAUAAACAUUGGGAUUUGACUUCAAUCCAUAAAAACUAUAUUUCAAAAUUGGAUAACAUAUUUAAAUCAGUUUACAUUUCGUAACAAUUAUGUUCGUCGUUUUAGACCCAAGAUGCUUUAAUAUGUUCGUGGUUUAUUUUCUCGGAUUAUUGACUGUGUUGGUUGAAAGUUAUCCUACCGGUGCUCCACCCAACUCGUGUGGUAACCUGUUGCCACAUCAUCAUGGAACUUCGCCCCAGGAAACACAAGCACCUUAUACGUUCUAUCUUGAGGGUAACACAUAUACCCCACAAACCUCUUUAGUCGUUUCUGUAUUUGGUAGUCCAGAUUUUCUAGCCUUCAUGAUACAAGGACGUCGUAGUGAUACGGGAGCGCCAGUUGGAAUGUUUGUAAAAAUUCCCACCAAUACUAAAUAUAUAUCAUGUGAUACAGAACAAGAUACUGUUACCCAUAGCAACCCGACGCCCAGAAAUAUCACACAGUUUAUAUGGAUGCCACCAAAAGAAAAUGUCGGAGAAAUUAUUUUCAAGGGUAGUGUGGCCAGAAGUAAAUCUUUAUAUUGGGGUGUUCUAGAAUCUAAACCUAUAAAAUACAGUAAAACAGCACCCACAGGUGGAUCGGGUUCGUCAAGACCAACUUACACCAGUUUAUCGUCCAUAUUAAUAAUUAUGACAAUGUUUAUCUCCAGCUUGUUAACAUUUUAAUAAAUUAUAGAAACUAAAUACAGCUUAAUCCAGAAAAUCUGGUGCUUAUUCUGGAUCUGUGGGUUUGUGACGGGUGAUGUCCUUCUACCGAAAGAGCCGUAUUAGGACCAUGAAUUGAUGCUAUGCAAUAGAAAAUAGUAGUAAAUACCACGUAUUAUAUAAUUUUGUAAAAUAUAUUGUUUUGGUCAUUUUAAUUGACCAAAGUGAAUUUUGGCCCUAUAUGGUUUAUUGCCGUUACGACCACAUCUCAAUAGUAAUAUGACUUGGUAAAUACCCAUUCACAUAGUGCAGUAAUAGUAAAUACUAGUAAUAUUACUUAUAUUACAUUGUGCAGUAAUAGUAAUAUUACUUAUAUCAUGUGAUGCAGUAAUAGUAAAUACUAGUAAUAUCACUUAUAUCAUGUGAUGCAGUAAUAGUAAAUACUAGUAAUAUCACUUAUAUCACUUGGUAGUAGUAAUAUUGCUUAUAUCUUUAUGUGAGACAUUAUGAAUACCAAAUGUAGUUGUUAAAGUUGAAAAAUGUAUAUAUACACUAAAAUGUAAAAAUAUUUAUUUUAUUUCAAAUAAACCAUGUCAAAAUA